CCCGACGCAGGAGGAGCUUCUGCCUUCCGGAAGGCUCUGCCAAGUCGGCGGGGACCUCCACGGAGCCCGUUCGCUUCUGGAGGAAAGAGCCAGACUUCUCAAAGGGGCCUCAGGGAUUCGAGGACACAGAGUAGUAGCAGAGUAACCAUAACAGCAGAGGCUCAAUGGGAACGCAGAUAUCUCAGCGGAUACCAGAGAGCACAAGUGAUGGGGACAACCAAAUGGGAUGAGCUACCGUCAUAUAAAGUUGGACCGUGAAGGCGGGUCACUCUUCAUUAUUUCUUACCACUGUCCAGCAACGCCACAAUUUGUUCGCGUGUAAGAUCGUUUUUAUUC